rnacentral:rRNA from 1 species
CUGAAUCCUGGCAAACAUAUGCAAAUCGCAGUUUGUAGCAUCCAGUUUACUGGAUGUUAUAGCGAUGAUUUGUAGGGUCUUCCGACUCAUCAGCCAUGUUGGUACUCUAUGGGUCUACCAAGGCAUCGACGGGUGACGGAGGAUUGGGGUUUGAUCCCGGAGAGGGAGCCUGAGAGAUGGCUACCACUUCUAAGGAAGGCAGCAGGCGCGCAAAUUACCCAAUGCCAAAACGGCGAGGUAGUGACAAUCAAUAACGACGUGGACUCUCUAAGAGGGUCCACGAUCGGAAUGAGCUCGCCCCAGACAAUCGAGCAAGUAACGAUCGGAGGAAAAGCCUGGUGCCAGCACCCGCGGUAAUUCCAGCUCCGAUAGCAUAUAUUAAAGUUGUUGCAGUUAAAAAGCUCGUAGUUGGACCCGUGUGCAAUUUGGUUGCAUCAACUCUGCCGCGAGUAGUGUGAAUAUUGCAGAUUGUGUACAAGAUUUUUUAAAGCAACCUUUGAGAUGGACAGUGUUACAACCAUUGGAACAUCGAAUUGGAAUGUUUUUAUUAGAAAAAAAAUACCUGGAACAAAUUAGGGUGUUCAAAGCAGGCGGCUCUUAGAGUGUCACGAAUAGGUCAGCGUGGGAUAUAAAGUGGUACCCCUGUAACCCAUUUUGGGUUUGGUUUUUCGUUUGAAAAUAAGAAUCCAGAACGUUCGUGCUUGAAAAGCAACGAUGCGUGCUUGCACGUAUCGUUGUUUUUGUUUGGUCCUUGGAGGGAAAUUCAGUGGGAACGAUUGAUGAGGGCGGUCAGUGGCGUCGGUAUUUGGCCGUCAGAGGUGAAAUUCUUGGACCGGCCAAAGACCAUCAUCAGCGAAAGCAUUCGCCAGGUACACUCUUUUUCGAUCAAGAACGAAAGUCGGGGGAUCGAAGAUGAUCAGAUACCGUCGUAGUCCCGACCGCAAACGUUGCCAACCAGGGAUCAGGAGGCGUCGCAUGGACGGCCCUUCUGGCACCCCCAGGGAAACCUAGAGUCUUUGGGUUCCGGGGGGAGUAUGGUCGCAAGGCUGAAACUUAAAGGAAUUGACGGAAGGGCACCACCAGGCGUGGGGUUUGCGGCUUAAUUCGACCCAACACGGGAAACCUUACCAGGUCCGGACUCCGUAAGGAUUGACAGACUGAUGGACCUUUCUUGAUCCUGAGGGUGGUGGUGCAUGGCCGUUCUUGGUUGGUGGAGCGAUCCGUCAGGUCAAUUCCGUUAACGAACGAGACCUCGACCCCCUAAAUAGUGGCGUUUGCUCUACCAACUCGGGGAAAAUCUCGUAUAACAAACGGUGCUUUGUUGUAGUUCUACUGCCAUGAAGUUAUUGUUGUUGUAUGGGGUUACCUCGGUGGGGCAUACGAACUACUUCUUAGAGGGACGGCUCGCGUUUAGCGAGAGGAAGCUUGAGGCAAUAACAGGU